GACGAACGCUGGCGGCGUGCCUAAUACAUGCAAGUUGAGCGCUGAAGGUUGGAACUUGUACCCACUGGAUGAGCAGCGAACGGGUGAGUAACGCGUGGGGAAUCUGCCUUUUAGCGGGGGACAACAUUUGGAAACGAAUGCUAAUACCGCAUAAAAACUUUAAACACAAGUUUUAAGUUUGAAAGAUGCAAUUGCAUCACUCAAAGAUGAUCCCGCGUUGUAUUAGCUAGUUGGUGAGGUAAAGGCUCACCAAGGCGAUGAUACAUAGCCGACCUGAGAGGGUGGUCGGCCACAAUGGGACUGGGACACGGCCCAAACUCCUACGGGAGGCAGCAGUAGGGAAUCUUCGGCAAUGGACGAAAGUCUGACCGAGCAACGCCGCGUGAGUGAAGAAGGUUUUCGGAUCGUAAAACUCUGUUGGUAGAGAAGAACGUUGGUGAGAGUGGAAAGCUCAUCAAGUGACGGUAACUACCCAGAAAGGGACGGCUAACUACGUG
rnacentral:rRNA from 1 species